rnacentral:rRNA from 1 species
AGUGAACGCUGGCGGUAGGCCUAACACAUGCAAGUCGAACGGCAGCACAGUAAGAGCUUGCUCUUACGGGUGGCGAGUGGCGGACGGGUGAGGAAUACAUCGCAAUCUACUUUUUCGUGGGGGAUAACGUAGGGAAACUUACGCUAAUACCGCAUACGUCCUACGGGUGAAAGCAGGGGAUCUUCGGACCUUGCGCGAUUGAAUGAGCCGAUGUCGGAUUAGCUAGUUGGCGGGGUAAAGGCCCACCAAGGCGACGAUCCGUAGCUGGUCUGAGAGGGUGGUCCGCCAACCUGGAAGUGAGACACGGUCCAGACUCCUAAGGGAGGCAGCAGGUGGGAAUAUUGGGCAAUGGGCGCAAGCCUGAUCCAGCCAUACCGCGUGAGUGAAGAAGGCCUUCGGGUUGUAAAGCCCUGUUGUUAGGAAAGAAAAACAGCAGGUUUAUACCCCGCUGUUCUGACGGUACCCAAAGAAUAAGCACCGGCUAACUUCGUG